AACGAACGCUGGCGGCAUGCCUAACACAUGCAAGUCGAACGAGACCUUUGGGUCUAGUGGCGCACGGGUGCGUAACGCGUGGGAACCUGCCCUUAGGUUCGGAAUAACUCCCCGACAGGGGUGCUAAUACCGGAUAAUGUCUUCGGACCAAAGAUUUAUCGCCUUUGGAUGGGCCCGCGUUGGAUUAGCUAGUUGGUAGGGUAAAAGCCUACCAAGGCGACGAUGCAUAGCUGGUCAGAGAGGAUGAUCAGCCACACUGGGACUGAGACGCGGCCCAGAAUCCUACGGGAGGCAGCAGUGGGGGAUGUUGGAAAGUGGGCGGAAGCAUGAUGCAGCAAUGACGGGUGAGUGAUGAAGGCCUUAGGGUUGUAAAGCGCUUUUAACCGGGAUGAUAUUGACAGUACCGAGAGAAUAAGCCCCGGCUAACUCCGUG
rnacentral:rRNA from 1 species